rnacentral:tRNA from 2 species
AGGGGUAUAGCUCAAUUGGUAGAGUAGUGGACUCCAAAUCCAUUGGUUCAGCGUUCGAGUCGUUGUGCCCCUGCCA